rnacentral:piRNA from 1 species
UGGUCUUGGCCAGUUCACAGACAAUGAGGU